CCUACGGGAGGCAGCAGUGGGGAAUAUUGGGCAAUGGAGGAAACUCUGACGCAGCAACGCCGCGUGUAUGAUGAAGGUCUUCGGAUUGUAAAGUUCUUUUCUAAGGGAGGAAGAAAGUGACGGUACCUUAGGAAUAAGCCUCGGCUAACUACGUGCCAGCAGCCGCGGUAAUACGUAGGAGGCGAGCGUUAUCCGGAAUGACUGGGCGCAAAGGGUGCGUAGGCGGUUUGGCAAGUUAGUAGCGUAACUCCCAGGCUCAACCUUGGAACUACUACUAAAACUGGUGGACUAGAGUGCAGGAGGGGCAACUAGAAUUCCUAGUGUAGCGGUGGAAUGCGUAGAUAUUAGGAGGAACACCAGUGGCGAAGGCGGGUUGCUGGACUGUAACUGACGCUGAGGCACGAAAGCGUGGGGAGCAAACAGGAUUAGAUACCCUUGUAGUC
rnacentral:rRNA from 1 species